rnacentral:misc_RNA from 1 species
UUGCAUAGCUUGGGCUGACCUUGGA